rnacentral:lncRNA from 10 species
AUUAGACUCACCCCCUGAUGAAGCUUAUAAUAAUCCACCAUUAUUCUCCAAGAUCCAUCUGUCUUCUGUGCAGGCCAAAUAGAGCCCACCAUGAAAUCUGUCCCAAAUCAUGGAACCCCGAGGUGAAAGGCCCCCAGGCAUGCCAACACAUGGCAGACAAAUCCAGUUGUGUCCAGGGAUGGCGUUCCCUCCAGUUUUCUGAAAGACGCUCCCAUAUUCCUUAAGCACAGGGAUCUACUAAAGGAUGUGCUCCUUAAAAAUGAGGGAGUAAGCCGAGAAAGAGGAAGAUGUGGGCUCUAGAAAAUGGAAUCCAAUGCAGCAAAAGGCAUCUGAAAAUCAGUGGAAAUCAUCGCCAACUCUCACUCCUCCCAAUUACCUCCUGGGUGGGCUGGAACCUGAGAAAUCUCAUCAGUAAAGCUCAACAGCGUUGCCGAAUGCAUUCUCCUCUUCAGGCUACAAGAGCUUUGGGGUUGCAUGCUGUCACUCAAGAUCAACCGUAAGGGGCUCACAGAGGUCCAGAGAGGCCUCAGUGCUCCCUGAUGUUGAUGCCCCCAAAACCAGUCCAAAUCUAAGCCAGGUGCUCGGACCCACAGCAGCGGUCAGGGCCCUGCAGCCGGGCAGAACGCUGCUCCUCUGCGAACCUAACAGGGACAGGCAGAAGAGUAGAUAGAUGCCCACCCUCCCCGAUCUCCAGCUGAGAUGCACAUUGGCCCAGAACAAGUGAGCUGCCU